CUUGCUUCUUUGCUGACGAGUGGCGGACGGGUGAGUAAUGUCUGGGAAACUGCCUGAUGGAGGGGGAUAACUACUGGAAACGGUAGCUAAUACCGCAUAACGUCGCAAGACCAAAGAGGGGGACCUUCGGGCCUCUUGCCAUCGGAUGUGCCCAGAUGGGAUUAGCUAGUAGGUGGGGUAACGGCUCACCUAGGCGACGAUCCCUAGCUGGUCUGAGAGGAUGACCAGCCACACUGGAACUGAGACACGGUCCAGACUCCUACGGGAGGCAGCAGUGGGGAAUAUUGCACAAUGGGCGCAAGCCUGAUGCAGCCAUGCCGCGUGUAUGAAGAAGGCCUUCGGGUUGUAAAGUACUUUCAGCGGGGAGGAAGGGAGUAAAGUUAAUACCUUUGCUCAUUGACGUUACCCGCAGAAGAAGCACCGGCUAACUCCGUGCCAGCAGCCGCGGUAAUACGGAGGGUGCAAGCGUUAAUCGGAAUUACUGGGCGUAAAGCGCACGCAGGCGGUUUGUUAAGUCAGAUGUGAAAUCCCCGGGCUCAACCUGGGAACUGCAUCUGAUACUGGCAAGCUUGAGUCUCGUAGAGGGGGGUAGAAUUCCAGGUGUAGCGGUGAAAUGCGUAGAGAUCCGGAGGAAUACCGGUGGCGAAGGCG
rnacentral:rRNA from 1 species